AACCAUGUGAAUUACAUACUUGGCGCUGUCUGCUCCAUGAAUAUUAAAUAGCCGCAGUACUUUGACUGUGCUAAGGUAGCAUAAUCAGUUGACUUUUAAUUGAAGUCUAGUAUGAAUGAAUAAAUGGGUGAGAGCUGUCUCCAGAAAGCUAUAAGAAUUUAUUUAGUAAGUGAAAAUACUUACAUAUUAACAAAAGACGAGAAGACCCUAGAAAUUUUUUAAAAAUUGUAAUUAUUUACGUAUCUAUUUUACUGGGGCGGUAGAGUAACAAUAUMAACUUGCUUAAAGUAUAAGAAGAUUUUUAUCAGAAAAAAUAUAAUUACUCUAGGGAUAACAGCAUAAUUUUGGAGAGUUUGUGACCUCGAUGUUGGACUAGGGUUUGCAAUGUUCAGAAGAUGUUGUUGUGUGUUCUGUUCGAACAAUUUUCCCCUACAUG
rnacentral:rRNA from 1 species